CCAAAAAUUUCUCCAAGUAUGCCUGGGAGGAGGAACGGGUAGCUACUGGGCAUGCACAUACUUCCCAAUUUGGCCAAAGUUCAGGUAGAUACCCCAUACGGGUAUGCUGCUUUUAUCCAGAUCUUCAGCAGGUAACAGAGAAUUUUUCCUAAGUACAAUGUGGUGGAGGCAAAGGUAGCUACCGGGCAUGUAGCAACCUCCAAAUUAGCCAAAACUCUCUGUUACCUAGCCUAGAGGGAUCCGAGUUUAGGAUCCACAAAGAAAAAAUCUCUCUUGGAGGAAGCCAAAUCUUUUUUUCUAGAAGCAUGCCGAGGUGAGAAGGCAAGGGUAGCUACCAGGCAUACACUUCCGUCUAAACUUGUCCAAAGUUGUGGUGUCCCUGCCCUGAAGGGCUUUGCAGCUGGUCCCCAGAGCUAAAUGUGUCUCAGGCAGAAUCCCCAACAUUUGCAGAAGCUUCCCUGGAGGAGGCAAUGGUAGCUAGCAGGCAUGCAGCUCCCUCCAAAGUAGAGCCCAAAUUGUGAGGGACUUAAGGCGGAGGGGUCUUCAGGUGGUAUUGACAAGCGGUUCUGUAUUUGGAGCUAGCCCAAAAGUUUUUCAAAUCAUGAUCAGCGAAGGGAAGUGAAGGUACCCAGGCAGGAACCUCCCUCCAAAAUUGGCCAAAGUUCUUGGGUACCAAGCCUGAAGGGGUCUGCGGACCGAAUGCACAAGUCCCUCUCUCUCCGGAAGAGGCCCCAAAAUUUCACCAAGUAUGCCUGGGAGGAGGAACGGGUAGCUACUGGGCAUGCACAUACUUCCCAAUUUGGCCAAAGUUCGGGUAGAUACCCCAUACGGGUAUGCUGCUUUUAUCCAUAACUUCUGCAGGUGACAGAGAAUUUUUCCUAAGUACAAUGUGGUGGAGGCAAAGGUAGCUACCGGGCAUGUAGCAACCUCCAAAUUAGCCAAAAUUCUCUGUUACCUAGCCUAGAGGGAUCCGAGUUUAGGAUCCACAAAGAAAAAAUCUCUCUUGGAGGAAGCCAAAUCUUUUUUCUAGAAGCAUGCCGAGGUGAGAAGGCAAGGGUAGCUACCA